rnacentral:rRNA from 1 species
CCUACGGGUGGCUGCAGUCGAGAAUCUUCGGCAAUGGGCGCAAGCCUGACCGAGCAAUGCCGCGUGCGGGAUGCAGGCCUUCGGGUUGUAAACCGCUGUCGAGGGGGAUUAAGAGCAAUUUGAAUGAUCCCUGGAGGAAGGGUCGGCUAAUCUCGUGCCAGCAGCCGCGGUAAUACGAGAGACCCGAACGUUAUUCGGAAUUACUGGGCUUACAGAGUUCGUAGGCGGCUCAGAAAGUUGGGUGUGAAAUCCCUCGGCUCAACCGAGGAAUUGCGCUCAAAACUACUGAGCUUGAGGGGUAUAGAGGUAAGCGGAACUGAUGGUGGAGCGGUGAAAUGCGUUGAUAUCAUCAGGAACACCGGUGGCGAAGGCGGCUUACUGGGUACCUCCUGACGCUGAGGAACGAAAGCUAGGGGAGCGAACGGGAUUAGAUACCCGAG